CGUGCUCCGUGGGUGCGGCGGCGGCCGUAUAUAAUCAUUUCUGUGCUACGACUGUCUCAAUCGGGCCCGCAAGAGCA
rnacentral:snoRNA from 1 species